rnacentral:rRNA from 1 species
UACGGAGGGGGCAAGCGUUGUUCGGAAUUACUGGGCGUAAAGGGCGCGCAGGCGGCUGCUCAAGUCAGGCGUGAAAGGCCUGGGCUCAACCCGGGAAUUGCGCUUGAGACUGGGCUGGCUUGAGUGCGGGAGAGGUGAGUGGAACUGCGAGUGUAGAGGUGAAAUUCGUAGAUAUUCGCAAGAACACCAGUGGCGAAGGCGGCUCACUGGCCCGGUACUGACGCUGAGGUGCGAAAGCGUGGGGAGCAAACAGG